GGACUACUGGGGUAUCUAAUCCCUUUUGCUCCCCACGCUUUCGUGCCUGAGCGUCAGUAACUGUCCAGGUGACCGCCUUCGCCUCUGGUGUUCUUCACGAUAUCUACGCAUUUCACUGCUACACCGUGAGUUCCGUCACCCUCUCCAGUACUCUAGCCGUGUAGUUUGAGGUGCAAUUCCGGGGUUGAGCCCCGGGCUUUCACGCCCCACACACACGGCCGCCUGCGCACCCUUUACGCCCAGUGAAUCCGAAUAACGCUCGCAGUCUCUGUAUUACCGCGGCUGCUGGCAC
rnacentral:rRNA from 1 species